rnacentral:rRNA from 1 species
AUUGAACGCUGGCGGCAUGCUUUACACAUGCAAGUCGAACGGUAACAGGCCGCAAGGUGCUGACGAGCGGCGAACGGGUGAGUAAUGCAUCGGAACGUGCCCAGUCGUGGGGGAUAACGCAGCGAAAGCUGCGCUAAUACCGCAUACGAUCUAUGGAUGAAAGCGGGGGACCGUAAGGCCUCGCGCGAUUGGAGCGGCCGAUGGCAGAUUAGGUAGUUGGUGGGGUAAAGGCUCACCAAGCCAACGAUCUGUAGCUGGUCUGUGAGGAAGACCAGCCACACUGGGACUUGGACACGCCCCAGACUCCUACGGGAGGGAGCAGUGGGGAAUUUUGGACAAUGGGCGCAAGCCUGAUCCAGCAAUGCCGCGUGCAGGAAGAAGGCCUUCGGGUUGUAAACUGCUUUUGUACGGAACGAAACGGUCUGGGUUAAUACCUCGGGCUAAUGACGGUACCGUAAGAAUAAGCACCGGCUAACUACGUGCCAGCCGCCGCAGUAACAC